rnacentral:rRNA from 1 species
CCUACGGGUGGCAGCAGUGAGGAAUAUUGGUCAAUGGCCGGAAGGCUGAACCAGCCAAGCCGCGUGAAGGACGAAGGUGCCAAGCAUUGUAAACUUCUUUUGUCAAGGGACAAAAUCAGGCUCGAGAGCCUGACCGAGGGUACUUGAAGAACAAGCAUAGGCUAACUCCGUGCCAGCAGCCGCGGUAAUACGGAGGAUGCGAGCGUUAUCGGGAUUUAUUGGGGUUAAGGGGUGCGUGGGCGGGCGGUUAAGUCAGCGGGAAAAGCCCGGGGCUCAACCCCGGCGAGCCGUUGAAACUGGCUGUCUUGAGAUGUCGAGAGGUAUGCGGAAUGCGCGGUGUAGCGGUGAAAUGCUUAGAGAUUGCGCAGAACUCCGAUGGCGAAGGCAGCAUACCGGCGGCGAUCUGACGCUGAGGCACGAAAGCGUGGGUAUCGAACAGGAUUAGAUACCCUUGUAGUC